rnacentral:lncRNA from 1 species
UUCACUUCAAUAUUAUUACCUUGACAUGUUAAUACCACAAAAGUAAGGAUGUAAACCUAUUGAAAAGAGUACUGAAUGUAAACCUGUUAUCAAAAACAGCUCUACUUAAGAUCAUCUAAUGGUUUUUCCAUUUUGUAGUAUUAUGUAUAAUCAAAGCGCACAGCAAAUUUUAAACAAAGAGAAUUCUAUAUAGGAUUUUAGAGAUCAAAAUAGUUUUACAAAAUUUUUUGGUGGAAUUGAGGAAUUUUAGACUUAAAAUCACAACUUGGAAAUUAGUUAGUAGUGUAAAUGUUUUUGGUUUGCUAAUGAAGAAACAGUCCUGCCAAGAUUGUUCUUUUGCCAAACUCUAGUUAUUGCCAGUCCAUUUUUCUUUU